rnacentral:rRNA from 1 species
CUGGAGGUAUCAGAAGUGCGAAUGCUGACAUAAGUAACGAUAAAGCGGGUGAAAAGCCCGCUCGCCGGAAGACCAAGGGUUCCUGUCCAACGUUAAUCGGGGCAGGGUGAGUCGACCCCUAAGGCGAGGCCGAAAGGCGUAGUCGAUGGGAAACAGGUUAAUAUUCCUGUACUUGGUGUUACUGCGAAGGGGGGACGGAGAAGGCUAUGUUGGCCGGGCGACGGUUGUCCCGGUUUAAGCGUGUAGGCUGGUUUUCCAGGCAAAUCCGGAAAAUCAAGGCUGAGGCGUGAUGACGAGGCACUGCGGUGCUGAAGCAACAAAUGCCCUGCUUCCAGGAAAAGCCUCUAAGCAUCAGGUAACAUCAAAUCGUACCCCAAACCGACACAGGUGGUCAGGUAGAGAAUACCAAGGCGCUUGAGAGAACUCGGGUGAAGGAACUAGGCAAAAUGGUGCCGUAACUUCGGGAGAAGGCACGCUGAUAUGUAGGUGAAGUCCCUCGCGGAUGGAGCUGAAAUCAGUCGAAGAUACCAGCUGGCUGCAACUGUUUAUUAAAAACACAGCACUGUGCAAACACGAAAGUGGACGUAUACGGUGUGACGCCUGCCCGGUGCCGGAAGGUUAAUUGAUGGGGU